rnacentral:antisense_RNA from 2 species
CUUGAUGGUGGCUGUACGCAGGGCGCUUCGGCGCGCCGGCUUUUAGCUGAGUUCCCCGGUCUACUAACCUGCGUACAGCUGCCACCCUU